AAAGUGCGAUAACUAGUGUGAAUUGCAGAAUUCAGUGAAUCAUCGAAUCUUUGAACGCACAUUGCGCCCGCCAGUAUUCUGGCGGGCAUGCCUGUUCGAGCGUCAUUACAACCCUCAGGCCCCCGGGCCUGGCGUUGGGGAUCGGCGGAAGCCCCCUGCGGGCACAACGCCGUCCCCCAAAUACAGUGGCGGUCCCGCCGCAGCUUCCAUUGCGUAGUAGCUAACACCUCGCAACUGGAGAGCGGCGCGGCCACGCCGUAAAACACCCAACUUCUGAAUGUUGACCUCGAAUCAGGUAGGAAUACCCGCUGAACUUAAGC
rnacentral:misc_RNA from 1 species